GCUCGCGUAGCUCAAGGAGAGCACCCGGCACUUAACCGGAAGGCGCGAUGGCGACGGCCAAUUGGUUCGAUACCCGCCGCGAGCACCA
rnacentral:tRNA from 1 species